UACGAAGGGGGCUAGCGUUGUUCGGAAUCACUGGGCGUAAAGGGCGCGUAGGCGGCCGAUCAAGUCGGGGGUGAAAGCCUGUGGCUCAACCACAGAAUUGCCUUCGAUACUGUUUGGCUUGAGACCGGAAGAGGUUAGUGGAACUGCGAGUGUAGAGGUGAAAUUCGUAGAUAUCGGGAGGAACACCAGUGGCGAAGGCGACUACCUGGCCUGUUCUUGACGCUGAGGCGCGAAAGCUAGGGUAGCAAACGGG
rnacentral:rRNA from 1 species